rnacentral:rRNA from 1 species
ACGGGUGAGUAAUAUAUCGGAACGUGCCCAAUCGUGGGGGAUAACGUAGAGAAAUUUACGCUAAUACCGCAUACGAUCUAAGGAUGAAAGCGGGGGAUCGCAAGACCUCGCGCGAUUGGAGCGGCUGAUAUCAGAUUAGGUUGUUGGUGAGGUAAAAGCUCACCAAGCCGACGACCUGUAGCUGGUUUGAGAGAACGACCAGCCACACUGGGACUGAGACACGGCCCAGACUCCUACGGGAGGCAGCAGUGGGGAAUUUUGGACAAUGGGCGAAAGCCUGAUCCAGCAAUGCCGCGUGCAGGAAGAAGGCCUUCGGGUUGUAAACUGCUUUUGUACGGAACGAAAAAGCUCUUUCUAAUAAAGAGGGCUCAUGACGGUACCGUAAGAAUAAGCACCGGCUAACUACGUGCCAGCAGCCGCGGUAAUACGUAGGGUGCGAGCGUUAAUCGGAAUUACUGGGCGUAAAGCGUGCGCAGGCGGUUAUAUAAGACAGUUGUGAAAUCCCCGGGCUCAACCUGGGAAUUGCAUCUGUGACUGUAUAGCUAGAGUACGGUAGAGGGGGAUGGAAUUCCGCGUGUAGCAGUGAAAUGC